rfam:Felis catus isolate Cinnamon breed Abyssinian chromosome C2, whole genome shotgun sequence.
ACCUGGCUGGCCCAGUUGGUAGAGCAUGCGACUCUUGAUCGCAGGAUUGUAGGUUCGAGCCCCAUGUUGGGUA